ACCAGUAGUCAGCUCACACCCUAAUACUAUGAAUUUACGAUUCAUGCUUCUAACACUGAUCAUUGCGCCAGCACUAUGUUCGGCAACUGAUCCUCAUUGUCCGGAAGUCAACGACCCGCUGGUGGCCAUCCAUUAUCCACAUCCAAUGGAUUGCAGUAAAUAUCUCACUUGCAAUUGGGGAAAAUUGGUCGAACAGAGCUGCCCAGCCGGAUUACUUUGGAAUGAUGUACCGAAAUACUGUGACUAUCCGCAGAAUGUUAAUUGUGAGAAAAAAUUCCUGAAUGCCAGCAUCGAAACAUUAUAUAAAAUGGAGUCUGGAUAGGAUUAUAUAAUGAUAAUACAGUAUUCCUUCAUGAGAUGGUGUAAA